UACGUAGGGGGCAAGCGUUGUCCGGAAUCAUUGGGCGUAAAGAGCGUGUAGGCGGUUCGGUAAGUCGGCUGUGAAAGUCCAGGGCUCAACCCUGGGAUGCCGGUCGAUACUGCCGGACUAGAGUUCGGAAGAGGCGAGUGGAAUUCCUGGUGUAGCGGUGAAAUGCGCAGAUAUCAGGAAGAACACCAAUGGCGAAGGCAGCUCUCUGGGACGGUACUGACGCUGAGACGCGAAAGCGUGGGGAGCGAACAGG
rnacentral:rRNA from 1 species